rnacentral:tRNA from 1 species
AGAGAAUUAGCUCAGCUGGGAGAGCGUCUGCCUUACAAGCAGAAGGUCGGGGGUUCGAUCCCUCAUUCUCUACCA